rnacentral:tRNA from 1 species
GCUGGCGUAGCUCAGCUGGUAGAGCAGCUGAUUUGUAAUCAGCAGGUCAUCGGUCCAAAUCCGAUCGCCAGCU